rnacentral:tRNA from 1 species
GCCAGUGUGGUGUAGUGAUUUGAGCAUUGGACUAUGACUCUGGGGGACCAGGGUUCGAAUCCCUGCUCAAACA